rnacentral:lncRNA from 1 species
GCAAUGCUAGAUCUUUUUUUUUUUUUUUAAAGGAGUGACCACUGAUUGGUCCAGAAGUGGACAUCUGAUAAAGGGAUUAGCCAAUGAGCAGCAAGAGGAGGACAGAGUAUAGAAGCCAAAAGAAGGGAGUUGGGAGUGAAUAUAUCAGAGUGUGCUAUGCAGAAGACAUUUGAAAUGGAGUUCCUUGAGUUUUCAAACAUGCACAUCCUUUAUCUCAUAUGAGAAUGUAAGACAGGCCCACUUGAGCUGGAGAAACAAUGGCCUGAGCCAGUCCUAUGCCUCGGUGCGAAACAACAAUGCAGAACUCUUGACGAAUUCUGGCGUCGCGAGUGGAAUCUUGCAGUUCAACAUG